GUGGGGAAGACACUUAAGGUUUCUAUUUGUCUAACAUGGAUAUAGGGUUCUGCCUCAUGAUGCACAUUCCUUUUCCACGUCAGAGAUAGGGCCAACCUGCACGUUCCUACAGCUACUCGGGGUCCCAUGGACAAUGACUGAGGAGAUAGACCAUGUAGGAAACAUCU
ensembl:snoRNA SNORA73 Small nucleolar RNA SNORA73 family